GCACUACUGAGGAGUCCCAUACCAGGACGAAACGGCCGUUCAGUGC
rfam:Schistosoma margrebowiei strain Zambia genome assembly, scaffold: SMRZ_contig0003461